GGAGAGGUGGCAGAGUGGUCGAUUGCGGCGGCUUGCUAAGCCGUUAUACGGGUUAACUCCCGUAUCGGGGGUUCGAAUCCCCCCCUCUCCGCCA
rnacentral:tRNA from 1 species